GCAUAUCAAAAAGCGGAGGAAAAGAAACCAACAGGGAUUGCCCUAGUAACGGCGAGUGAAGCGGCAACAGCUCAAAUUUGAAAGCUGGCCUUCGGGUCCGCAUUGUAAUUUGUAGAGGAUGCUUUGGGGCAGCCGCCUGUCUAAGUUCCUUGGAACAGGACGUCAUAGAGGGUGAGAAUCCCGUAUGUGACAGGACAUGGCACCCUAUGUAAAGCUCCUUCGACGAGUCGAGUUGUUUGGGAAUGCAGCUCUAAAUGGGAGGUAAAUUUCUUCUAAAGCUAAAUACCGGCGAGAGACCGAUAGCGCACAAGUAGAGUGAUCGAAAGAUGAAAAGCACUUUGGAAAGAGAGUUAAAAAGCACGUGAAAUUGUUGAAAGGGAAGCGCUUGCAAUCAGACUUGUUUUGACUGUUCGGCCGGUCUUCUGACCGGUUUACUCAGUCUGGACAGGCCAGCAUCAGUUUUGGCGGCCGGAUAAAGGCUCAGGGAAUGUGGCUCUCACUUCGGUGGGAGUGUUAUAGCCCUGGGUGUAAUACGGCCAGCCGGGACUGAGGUCCGCGCUUCGGCUAGGAUGCUGGCGUAAUGGUUGUAAGCGACCCGUCUU
rnacentral:rRNA from 1 species